rnacentral:rRNA from 1 species
CAGUAGCCGCGGUAAUACAGAGGGUGCGAGCGUUAAUCGGAUUUACUGGGCGUAAAGCGUGCGUAGGCGGCUUCUUAAGUCGGAUGUGAAAUCCCUGAGCUUAACUCAGGAAUUGCAUUCGAUACUGGGAAGCUAGAGUAUGGGAGAGGAUGGUAGAAUUUCAGGUGUAGCGGUGAAAUGCGUAGAGAUCUGGAGGAAUACCGAUGGCGAAAGCAGUCAGCUGGCCUAAUACUGACGCUGAGGUACGAAAGCAAGGGGAGCAAACGGGAUUAGAUACCCCUGUAGUCCCUGUCUCUUAUAC